ensembl:processed_transcript AW047730 expressed sequence AW047730
CAUUGCUUUCUUCCGGGCAGGGCUGCGGGAACCUCUGCCCAGACCCUGGGAGAGUGGCCACGAGCCCGCCGCGGGCGCAGCAAAGACCCGGAGGGCCCGAAGAGUUGCUCGGGGUUCGAGGAAAAUGAAAUGACCCAACACUACAGUCCUGGUUGCUCGCCUGCGGGCCAGAUCUCUCCGCGCGGCCGGAGAUCGACCUGCCGGGCCCGGGACGCUGUCGGCGAUUUCGGACCCCGGGCAAGCUCGCAGAGCCAGUCCCGGGAUCCGCUCGCCCAGCCCUAGUCUUGGGGUGCGGACGGACCCGCCGCGGGGGGCGCAGCGUCCGGGAGAACCGGGCCGCUGGAGACGAAAGCGCGGGAGUGGCGGCGCUCCCGGCCCCGCGUCUUUUUCCUGGGGCCAAGCCACCCUGUCAUCGCCGGGACAUCGCGGGACUCCACGCAGCCGGCCGAGGGUUCAAGCCUUCGGCCGGCCUUCCCUGCGCCCCGCAGCGCGGUGGACUGGGGCGGCGAUUGGCGCUCUUCGUCUGAGCGAGGUUUGGGGUAGAGCGAGCGAGCGAGCGAGCGAGAGAGCCAGGCUCAUCCGGCUCCCGCCGAGCCCCAAGAGGCUCGCAGGGUCAGGACUCUUUCGGAGACCUAGGUACCACAUACUGCAGCAUCCUCUGGGAGUAGCAGGAAAGAGCAGGUCAGCGAUGGACCACCUCUCACGGCCACAGACACUCGAGCUCGGUGCUCCCACACUUCACUCUUCCACGCAGAGCACCUGUGGCCCGUCCACAGCAUGCACUGUUCCUUUACGUGGACUUUAAUGAACUUGGAAGACUGAACCACAUCUGGGGUUGGGGACAAGAGAGUCAGGAGGGGGGCACACAGAGGGGCCUGAAGGCUAGUCCUGCCUGCUCUGGCCUAUCUCAGAACAGAGAAUGAGGGGUCCUCAGUGUGGAGGUAGGGGUGUCUUUAGGUCCACAAGCCCUUGCCUUAGUUACAUGGGAGCUCUAUAGCCAACUCAAAGCCAACUUUCCAUGCGUGACACACAUCUCUGAUCAGAAUGUGCCCCAAACUGCACACACAGAACCUGGCUGUACACUCACUCACGAUGCAUAUAUCCAUCAGCAUACACAGGCUGUGCACUGAGAAUAUAAGUGAGCUGGGGACAGAUAAACCUAUUUGCUCACACCCAGGAAGGGGGCACGUUUCCAGUUCAGCCGUAACUUAGUGGUCAGGGUAACACUGGGAGCAGAACUUGGUAGGGAAAGGGACAGAGCACCUACAUCUACCCACUCAGAUUAAUUUCCUCUGCCAAAACUGGGACUGAGGUUGGAGUAGAAGAGUCCCCAAGUCUCAGAAGUGAAUAUUAUACCUAAAAAAAUCUGCACCAAGAAAGACAGUCAACCCAACAGCCAUUCCAUUUGCCUGCCAAGAGGAACUCUAUCCUGCCUGUAUCAAACAUGGAGCUAGUGUCUGACCACAUGAGUUCUCACAUGGAGAUCUUUUUAUGUGAAUACAAGAGAUGCAUACAGUUCUAGAAAUAAUAUGUACAGAUGUAUCGAUCCUGACACAUAGACAGAGAGAUAAAGAACAGGACACCCCUCUCCUGCUUCUGAGUAGCCAUAACAAGCUGACAUACUAGCUUUGCCUCCAGCCUGGAAGAGACUGGUGCCUUGGAAGAUUCGUGGUUAUGACAGUUUAUCAUUGGUUCUUGUAGAGAUAAUACAAGCCACCAACUGAAGGCAUUUGGGCGGGUUAGAGAGAGACUUUGGGGGUGAAGGGCUGUACCUCUAGGGCUCAGGUUCCAAAUGUGAGAGAGAGUGGUAGCUAGACAUGCCUGGCUAAUGUAUACAGACUAAAAAAUGUAUACAAACUGGUCCCAGGCACACAGGUACACAAAGAUCCUGCAGAAGGCCAGUAGUGUGAUGUCCAAUCUCAGUGUUCAGAGGAGCAGUGGGGGAGAAGAUGAGGGCACAGGACAUUUCCUUGCAUACACAGCUCCAGGGGGGUUGUGGUUUAAUCAUCACAUGGGAGAGCUACAGAGAUAGGAAAGUAUACACAGAGAUAGAUAUCGCAUAUAAGGUAGCUGUCCCUCCCGUGUGGUGCCUGUGUGGGAAAGGCGUCCUUGGGUAAGUCACUUAAAUAGUGACUCCAGAUUAGUAAAGUACAGAACAUGCUUGGUGACAUUUCGAAUCUGCUCUCCAGUUCCCUGACUGAACAGAAGGAAGGACAACGCAGAAGAAAGGACCCCAUCCCAACUCUGCCCUGUGGGAGCUGGCUGACAGUCUCCGCAGCUGCUGUGACCUCCACUGGGCUCCUGUGCCUCGCAGCAUCCCCCUCUUCCACUGGAAGUUUGUCUUUCUGACUCUGUUCUCCCAUCCUCCCGCUUCUGCCUCCUCAGCUCUCUCACUAAACAUAGCCACAAAGAAACUGGCUGGAUGCAGGAGUGAAGGCCAAUAAAGAUGCUCAAGGUAGCUGUGGAGUCUUGAGUAACAAACCCUGUAUGAGGUUUUGUCUUUUUUUUUUCUGCAUAGACAUCGAAAUAAAACCCUGAGGUUGUUUCC